UCCGAGUUGACCCCGGCAGUCUCCUAUGAGUCCCCGGCAUUAUCCGCUGGCAACAUAGGACGAGGGUUGCGCUCGUUGCGGGACUUAACCCAACAUCUCACGACACGAGCUGACGACAGCCAUGCAGCACCUAGUUUUGUGCUAUUGCUAGCUGCCAUGUUUCUACGGCAUUCACUGACUUUCAAGCCCAGGUAAGGUUCCUCGCGUAUCAUCGAAUUAAACCACAUGCUCCUCCGCUUGUGCGGGUCCCCGUCAAUUCCUUUGAGUUUUAGCCUUGCGGCCGUACUCCCCAGGCGGGGCACUUAAUGCGUUAGCUCCGGCACGGGAGGAGUCGACACCUCCCACACCUAGUGCCCAUCGUUUACGGCGUGGACUAC
rnacentral:misc_RNA from 1 species